GAUACACAAACCCAUACCUAGAUAGAUCAUCGGUAAAGGUAAUGAAGUAGCUGUAACCCUCUUGGCCUACACAUCAAAUGAUCCACACACAUCAGUGUGUACUAGGGCAAGUAACUCAGUAGCCCUUUCCCCAUGUCCUACAAAGGAUAACUUGGCCAUUUUUUUUCAAAGACAAAAUUCACAAGCUGGAUACGACUCUAGGUUAAGAGAGCCAAGGAUCCCAUCUUUUUCUAGUUUGUU
rnacentral:lncRNA from 1 species